AACUAAUGAGAUAAAACAUUUAUUACUUAGUUUUAAGAAAUAACAAGAAAAGCUCGAAUGGCUUGGCAAACCAGGAAACGCCUGCGAAUUCCUGAAAUUUUCGUAAUAUUAUUCGUGCCCUUGAUUAGGGAAAUCAUUCAUCUAACAUUUUAGAUAAACAAAAGACAGUGACUAUUCGCCAUCCCUAGUCUUUCACAAGCUCA